rnacentral:rRNA from 1 species
UACAGAGGUCUCAAGCGUUGUUCGGAUUCAUUGGGCGUAAAGGGUGUGUAGGUGGCGCGCUAAGUCGGGUGUGAAAUUUCGGAGCUUAACUCCGAAACUGCAUUCGAUACUGGCGUGCCUGAGGACUGGAGAGGAGACUGGAAUUCAUGGUGUAGCAGUGAAAUGCGUAGAGAUCAUGAGGAAGACCAGUGGCGAAGGCGGGUCUCUGGACAGUUCCUGACACUGAGACACGAAAGCGUGGGGAGCAAACAGG